CACUCCGGUGGCCUAUAGGGUUAGAGCGUCCGCUUCGGAUGCGGGUGGUCGUGGGUUCUAUCCCCGGUCGAGUCA